rnacentral:rRNA from 1 species
GACGUAGGGCGCGAGCGUUGUCCGGAUUUAUUGGGCGUAAAGAGCUUGUAGGCGGUUUGUCGCGUCUGCUGUGAAAAUCCGGGGCUCAACCCCGGACUUGCAGUGGGUACGGGCAGACUAGAGUGUGGUAGGGGAGACUGGAAUUCCUGGUGUAGCGGUGGAAUGCGCAGAUAUCAGGAGGAACACCGAUGGCGAAGGCAGGUCUCUGGGCCACUACUGACGCUGAGAAGCGAAAGCAUGGGGAGCGAACAGG